GGUUACAGGUGUGAGUGGGUGGAGCCUGCUGCUGUGUCUCAGCGGGGCCGAGACCAGCUGCCUGAGGAGAGUCUCCUUCUCGCGGCUGCAGCGCCAUCACGUGGUGAACCUGUUGCCCCCGGUGAUGGAGGCGUUCUCUGACGCAGGCGGUGGUCUCUGUCACUUCCUCACUCAGUCUCAACGGACAGGAUCUGGAUUACCCAUGAGCCCCCACGCCUGUGGAUCGACCAAUCAGAAGCCGCGUCUCUCUGCGGUAGCAGACAG